GCUAAGGAGUGUGAACAACUCACNUGCNGAAUCAACNGGCCCUGAAAAUGGAUGGCGCUGGAGCGUNCCACUUAUUCCGGACCGCUUGGGCAACCGACUCUUCGAGCCAAGCUCAAGCGAGUAGGAGGGCCGCUGUGGUGAGCGUCGAAGCCUGGGACGUGAGUCUGGGU
rnacentral:rRNA from 1 species